rnacentral:rRNA from 1 species
CACGUAGGCACCAAGCGUUGUCCGGAUUUAUUGGGCGUAAAGAGCUCGUAGGCGGUUCAGUAAGUCAGGUGUGAAAACUUUGGGCUUAACCCAAAGCGUGCAUUUGAUACUGCUGUGACUUGAGUUCGGUAGGGGAGUGGGGAAUUCCCAGUGUAGCGGUGAAAUGCGUAGAUAUUGGGAGGAACACCAGUGGCGAAGGCGGCUCACUGGACCGGUUCUGACGCUGAUGCGCGAAAGCGUGGGGAGCAAACGGG